UACGUAGGUGACAAGCGUUAUCCGGAUUUACUGGGUGUAAAGGGCGUGUAGGCGGGACUGCAAGUCAGAUGUGAAAUUCCAGGGCUCAACCCUGGAACUGCAUUUGAAACUGUAGUUCUUGAGUGAUGGAGAGGCAGGCGGAAUUCCGUGUGUAGCGGUGAAAUGCGUAGAUAUACGGAGGAACACCAGUGGCGAAGGCGGCCUGCUGGACAUUAACUGACGCUGAGGCGCGAAAGCGUGGGGAGCAAACAGG
rnacentral:rRNA from 1 species